rnacentral:rRNA from 1 species
AGAGUUUGAUCCUGGCUCAGGAUGAACGCUAGCUACAGGCUUAACACAUGCAAGUCGAGGGGCAGCAUGGUCUUAGCUUGCUAAGACUGAUGGCGACCGGCGCACGGGUGAGUAACACGUAUCCAACCUGCCGUCUACUCUUGGACAGCCUUCUGAAAGGAAGAUUAAUACAAGAUGGCAUCAUGAGUCCGCAUGUUCACAUGAUUAAAGGUAUUCCGGUAGACGAUGGGGAUGCGUUCCAUUAGAUAGUAGGCGGGGUAACGGCCCACCUAGUCUUCGAUGGAUAGGGGUUCUGAGAGGAAGGUCCCCCACAUUGGAACUGAGACACGGUCCAAACUCCUACGGGAGGCAGCAGUGAGGAAUAUUGGUCAAUGGGCGAGAGCCUGAACCAGCCAAGUAGCGUGAAGGAUGACUGCCCUAUGGGUUGUAAACUUCUUUUAUAAAGGAAUAAAGUCGGGUAUGCAUACCCGUUUGCAUGUACUCUAUGAAUAAGGAUCGGCUAACUCCGUGCCAGCAGCCGCGGUAAUACGGAGGAUCCGAGCGUUAUCCGGAUUUAUUGGGUUUAAAGGGAGCGUAGAUGGAUGUUUAAGUCAGUUGUGAAAGUUUGCGGCUCAACCGUAAAAUUGCAGUUGAUACUGGAUAUCUUGAGUGCAGUUGAGGCAGGCGGAAUUCGUGGUGUAGCGGUGAAAUGCUUAGAUAUCACGAAGAACUCCGAUUGCGAAGGCAGCCUGCUAAGCUGCAACUGACAUUGAGGCUCGAAAGUGUGGGUAUCAAACAGGAUUAGAUACCCUGGUAGUCCACACGGUAAACGAUGAAUACUCGCUGUUUGCGAUAUACUGCAAGCGGCCAAGCGAAAGCGUUAAGUAUUCCACCUGGGGAGUACGCCGGCAACGGUGAAACUCAAAGGAAUUGACGGGGGCCCGCACAAGCGGAGGAACAUGUGGUUUAAUUCGAUGAUACGCGAGGAACCCUACCCGGGCUUAAAUUGCAGAUGAAUUACGGUGAAAGCCGUAAGCCGCAAGGCAUCUGUGAAGGUGCUGCAUGGUUGUCGUCAGCUCGUGCCGUGAGGUGUCGGCUUAAGUGCCAUAACGAGCGCAACCCUUGUUGUCAGUUACUAACAGGUUCCGCUGAGGACUCUGACAAGACUGCCAUCGUAAGAUGUGAGGAAGGUGGGGAUGACGUCAAAUCAGCACGGCCCUUACGUCCGGGGCUACACACGUGUUACAAUGGGGGGUACAGAGGGCCGCUACCACGCGAGUGGAUGCCAAUCCCCAAAACCUCUCUCAGUUCGGACUGGAGUCUGCAACCCGACUCCACGAAGCUGGAUUCGCUAGUAAUCGCGCAUCAGCCACGGCGCGGUGAAUACGUUCCCGGGCCUUGUACACACCGCCCGUCAAGCCAUGGGAGCCGGGGGUACCUGAAGUGCGUAACCGCGAGGAGCGCCCUAGGGUAAAACUGGUGACUGGGGCUAAGUCGUAACAAGGUA